GGAUCAUUACCGAGUUUACAACUCCCAAACCCAAUGUGAACGUUACCAAACUGUUGCCUCGGCGGGAUCUCUGCCCCGGGUGCGUCGCAGCCCCGGACCAAGGCGCCCGCCGGAGGACCAACCAAAACUCUUUUUGUAUACCCCCUCGCGGGUUUUUUAUAAUCUGAGCCUUCUCGGCGCCUCUCGUAGGCGUUUCGAAAAUGAAUCAAAACUUUCAACAACGGAUCUCUUGGUUCUGGCAUCGAUGAAGAACGCAGCGAAAUGCGAUAAGUAAUGUGAAUUGCAGAAUUCAGUGAAUCAUCGAAUCUUUGAACGCACAUUGCGCCCGCCAGUAUUCUGGCGGGCAUGCCUGUCCGAGCGUCAUUUCAACCCUCGAACCCCUCCGGGGGGUCGGCGUUGGGGAUCGGCCCUCCCUUAGCGGGUGGCCGUCUCCGAAAUACAGUGGCGGUCUCGCCGCAGCCUCUCCUGCGCAGUAGUUUGCACACUCGCAUCGGGAGCGCGGCGCGUCCACAGCCGUUAAACACCCAACUUCUGAAAUGUUGACCUCGGAUCAGGUAGGAAUACCCGC
rnacentral:rRNA from 1 species